rnacentral:rRNA from 1 species
UACGAGUGGUGCAAGCGUUGUUCGGAAUUACUGGGCGUAGAGCGCACGUAGGUGGGUCUUUAAGUCGAUUGUGAAAUCCCGGGGCUUAACCUCGGAAUUGCAGUCGAAACUAUUGAUCUUGAAUGCCUGAGAGGAUGUCGGAAUUCCCGGUGUAGAAGUGAAAUUCGUAGAUAUCGGGAGGAACACCUGAGGCGAAGGCGGAUGUCUGGCGGUGCAUUGACACUGAGGUGCGAAAGCGUGGGUAGCAAACAGG